UACGGAGGGUGCGAGCGUUGUUCGGAAUUACUGGGCGUAAAGGGCUCGUAGGUGGCCAACUAAGUCAGACGUGAAAUCCCUCGGCUUAACCGGGGAACUGCGUCUGAUACUGGAUGGCUUGAGUGUGGGAGAGGGAUGCGGAAUUCCAGGUGUAGCGGUGAAAUGCGUAGAUAUCUGGAGGAACACCGGUGGCGAAGGCGGCAUCCUGGACCAUUACUGACACUGAAUAGCGAAAGCCAGGGGAGCAAACAGG
rnacentral:rRNA from 1 species